rnacentral:rRNA from 1 species
UACGAAGGGGGGCUAGCGUUGCUCGGAAUCACUGGGCGUAAAGGGCGCGUAGGCGGAUCUUUUAAGUCGGGGGGUGAAAGCCCAGGGCUCAACCCUGGAAUUGCCUUCGAUACUGAAGAUCUCGAGACCGGAAGAGGUAAGUGGAACUGCGAGUGUAGAGGUGAAAUUCGUAGAUAUUCGCAAGAACACCAGUGGCGAAGGCGGCUUACUGGUCCGGUUCUGACGCUGAGGCGCGAAAGCGUGGGGAGCAAACAGG